rnacentral:rRNA from 1 species
AAGAACUAACAAGGAUUCCCCUAGUAACUGCGAGUGAAGCGGGAAAAGCUCAAAUUUAAAAUCUGGUAGUCUCUGGCUGCCCGAGUUGUAAUCUAGAGAAGCGUUAUCCGCGCUGGACCGUGUAUAAGUCUCCUGGAAUGGAGCGUCAUAGAGGGUGAGAAUCCCGUCUUUGACACGGACUACCAGGGCUUUGUGAUGCGCUCUCAAAGAGUCGAGUUGUUUGGGAAUGCAGCUCUAAAUGGGUGGUAAAUUCCAUCUAAAGCUAAAUAUUGGCGAGAGACCGAUAGCGAACAAGUACCGUGAGGGAAAGAUGAAAAGAACUUUGGAAAGAGAGUUAAACAGUACGUGAAAUUGUUGAAAGGGAAACGCUUGAAGUCAGUCGCGUUGGCUAGGAAUCAGCCUUGCUUUUGCUUGGUGUACUUCCUUGUUGACGGGUCAGCAUCAAUUUUGACCGGUGGAAAAAGGCUAGUGGAAUGUGGCAUCUUCGGAUGUGUUAUAGCUGCUAGUUGUAUACAUCGGUUGGGAUUGAGGAACUCAGCACGCCGAAAGGUCGGGGUUUUGCCCACGUUCGUGCUUAGGAUGCUGGCAUAAUGGCUUUAAUCGACCCGUCUUGAAACACGGACCAAGGAGUCUAACAUGCCUGCGAGUGUUUGGGUGGAAAACCCGAGCGCGUAAUGAAAGUGAAAGUUGAGAUCCCUGUCGUGGGGAGCAUCGACGCCCGGACCAGACCUUUUGUGACGGAUCCGCGGUAGAGCAUGUAUGUUGGGACCCGAAAGAUGGUGAACUAUGCCUGAAUAGGGUGAAGCCAGAGGAAACUCUGGUGGAGGCUCGUAGCGAUUCUGACGUGCAAAUCGAUCGUCAAAUUUGGGUAUAGGGGCGAAGACUAUCGAACC